ACCAUCAGUCAGAAAGACGACAUCGAGGAUAAAAGCUUUUUACCAGGAGCUCAGGGUCCAAACUUUCAGGUUCCUGUUACAUCCAGCAACUAAUCCCAGCCGAAGGAACAAGGUGUGCAGACAAUCUGGAAAUGACAUCACCAAUUAAACAGCAGCUCUCUAAUCCAGCACAGUGGGCUCUGGGAUAAAAUGGGGAAAGAGAUGAUGGAUAGGCUUUGAGACAAAGAGAGGGAAUCCAGAAAGACGGACACGCGCACAGGAAGCCCCUGCUAACGGACGCGGUCGGCUCUCCGUUCCAGUCGGGGGCCUUUCAGCAAAGGUCCAGGCAGAUAAACUUCCUCCUAAUGAGGGAGCAAGACGGCUGUUGGACAUGCUGAGAAGCUAUUAUUAGUUCUUACUUGGCUUGCUGGAGGAAAAUGGAUUCGCUAUGACUAAGCAUGUCUCUUCUUGAAACAUAUCCAGACGUCCACAUGUUAAUAUGUAAUGCACCUUAGAAAUCUUAUUUUCCUCUCUGAUGCCUUGAUGUCAAAAUGACAGGACAGAAUUUUUGCGGUCUUCCAUUUGACACGGUGCAUUUUACAAUCUGUACUUUGCCUCAUCACUUUUGUA